rnacentral:lncRNA from 1 species
UUCAUAGAGUCAAUAUCCUCAGCAUAUUCCGCAUCCCCAUCUGCACAUCGAUUAUUCCAUGAUUUCUAAUUUCUGAAAUGCCAUCGUUCAACCAAUCUUCUGUCCCAUUAUAAUUUCGAAUAAAAUUAUGCAACACACAAGCCAUCACAAUGUCAGUUUGAUUAUUGAUAUAAUGAUAUGUAGAUACCUUUAAAAUUGGAAAACGCAUUUUUACGACUCCAAUAAUGCGUUUGAUAUGAUUCCUGAGUUGUGAAUGACGAAGAU